rnacentral:rRNA from 1 species
AUUGAACGCUGGCGGCAUGCCUUACACAUGCAAGUCGAACGGCAGCACGGGGGGUAACCCCUGGUGGCGAGUGGCGAACGGGUGAGUAAUAUAUCGGAACGUGCCCUGUAGCGGGGGAUAACCUAUCGAAAGAUGGACUAAUACCGCAUACGACCUACGGGUGAAAGCGGAGGACCGCAAGGCUUCGCACUAUAGGAGCGGCCGAUAUCGGAUUAGCUAGUUGGUGGGGUAAAAGCCUACCAAGGCGACGAUCCGUAGCUGGUCUGAGAGGACGAUCAGCCACACUGGAACUGAGACACGGUCCAGACUCCUACGGGAGGCAGCAGUGGGGAAUUUUGGACAAUGGGCGCAAGCCUGAUCCAGCCAUGCCGCGUGAGUGAAGAAGGCCUUCGGGUUGUAAAGCUCUUUCGGCGGGGACGAAACGGUUCGUGCUAAUACCACGGACUAAUGACGGUACCCGCAUAAGGAGCACCGGCUAACUACGUGCCAGCAGCCGCGGU